GUGUGAUGGGGUGGCCUUCUGCAUCCAACCUAAGAUGGCUCUGCAGGAGUGCUAUCUACAAAUAUACAUUUCACAAGAUGCAUCUCCUGAAAGAUUCUCUGCCUGCAAAAUAAAAGAAAACAGCAAAAAUAGCCCAAAGUCCUGGAACAACUUUUUCUAUUACUGGACAUCCCCCUGAGCUCAAGUAGAUUUCCUGCCCAGACACAGAGUGAAUUACGGCCAAGCUCUAGGCAGCUGACCUUGUGGUCAGCCAGAGCACAGGCUUGCUAAUAAAUGUGGUCAGCCCCUACCGCAAACAGCC